AUACGAAGGGGGCUAGCGUUGUUCGGAAUUACUGGGCGUAAAGCGCGCGUAGGCGGAUUGGUCAGUUAGGGGUGAAAUCCCAGGGCUUAACCCUGGAACUGCCUCUAAUACUGCCAGUCUUGAGUUCGGGAGAGGUGAGUGGAAUUCCUAGUGUAGAGGUGAAAUUCGUAGAUAUGAGGAAGAACACCAGUGGCGAAGGCGGCUCACUGGCCCGAUACUGACGCUGAGGCGCGAAAGCGUGGGGAGCAAACAGGAUUAGAAACCCUAGUAGUCC
rnacentral:rRNA from 1 species